rnacentral:rRNA from 1 species
AGAGUUUGAUCAUGGCUCAGGAUGAACGCUGGCGGUAUGCCUAACACAUGCAAGUCGAACGGAGUGCUUAGGCACUUAGUGGCGGACGGGUGAGUAACGCGUGAGAAUCUGGCCUCAGGUUCGGGACAACCAUUGGAAACGAUGGCUAAUACCGGAUAUGCCUUAUGGUGAAAGAUUGCAUUGCCUGAGGAUGAGCUCGCGUCUGAUUAGCUAGUUGGUGGGGUAAAGGCCUACCAAGGCGGCGAUCAGUAGCUGGUCUGAGAGGAUGAGCAGCCACACUGGGACUGAGACACGGCCCAGACUCCUACGGGAGGCAGCAGUGGGGAAUUUUCCGCAAUGGGCGAAAGCCUGACGGAGCAAUACCGCGUGAGGGAGGAAGGCUCUUGGGUUGUAAACCUCUUUUCUCAGGGAAGAAUGAUGACGGUACCUGAGGAAAAAGCAUCGGCUAACCCCGUGCCAGCAGCCGCGGUAAUACGGAGGAUGCAAGCGUUAUCCGGAAUGAUUGGGCGUAAAGCGUCCGUAGGUGGCAUUUCAAGUCUGUUGUCAAAGACCGGGGCUCAACCCUGGAAAGGCAGUGGAAACUGAGGAGCUAGAGUGCGGGAGGGGCAGAGGGAAUUCCUGGUGUAGCGGUGAAAUGCGUAGAGAUCAGGAAGAACACCGGUGGCGAAAGCGCUCUGCUAGGCCGCAACUGACACUGAGGGACGAAAGCUAGGGGAGCGAAUGG